UACGUAGGGUGCAAGCGUUGUCCGGAAUUAUUGGGCGUAAAGAGCUCGUAGGCGGUCUGUCGCGUCGGCUGUGAAAACCCGGAGCUCAACUCCGGGCCGGCAGUCGAUACGGGCAGACUGGAGUUCGGCAGGGGAGACUGGAAUUCCUGGUGUAGCGGUGAAAUGCGCAGAUAUCAGGAGGAACACCGGUGGCGAAGGCGGGUCUCUGGGCCGAUACUGACGCUGAGGAGCGAAAGCGUGGGGAGCGAACAGG
rnacentral:rRNA from 1 species